GGCUGGACUGUGGCUCAGAGGCAGAGCAUGUGCUUUACAUGCAAAGGGUUCCUGGUUCAGUCCUUGGCACCUCCCAGUCA